UACAGAGGGUGCGAGCGUUUAAUCGGAAUUACUGAGCGUAAAGGGUGCGUAGGUGGUUUUGUAAGUUAGAUGUGAAAUUCCUGGGCUUAACCUGGGGACUGCGUCUGAUACUGCGAAGCUAGAGUACUGUAGAGGGAAGUGGAAUUUCCGGUGUAGCAGUGAAAUGCGUAGAUAUCGGAAGGAACAUCAGUGGCGAAGGCGACUUCCUGGACAGAUACUGACACUGAGGCACGAAAGCGUGGGGAGCAAACAGG
rnacentral:rRNA from 1 species